GUGUUCGCCAAAAGGAGAGAUGGUUGGCAUUUCCCCUGAUAGGGACGGGAACAGCCUUCGGGCUUUCCUGUUACCAGCACAAUCGGUUAAGGCUACCCACCACUUAGGUGGAUCUCGAACCCAAAUUUUUU